rnacentral:rRNA from 1 species
GUAGGGCGCGAGCGUUGUCCGGAAUUAUUGGGCGUAAAGAGCUCGUAGGCGGCUUGUCGCGUCGACUGUGAAAACCCGUGGCUCAACCAUGUGGUCUGCAGUCGAUACGGGCAGGCUAGAAUUCGGUAGGGGAGACUGGAAUUCCUGGUGUAGCGGUGAAAUGCGCAGAUAUCAGGAGGAACACCGGUGGCGAAGGCGGGUCUCUGGGCCGAUAUUGACGCUGAGGAGCGAAAGCGUGGGGAGCAAACAGGAUUAGAUACCCUGGUAGUCCACGCUGUAAACGUUGGGCGCUAGGUGUGGGGGACCUCUCCGGUUCUCUGUGCCGCAGCUAACGCAUUAAGCGCCCCGCCUGGGGAGUACGGCCGCAAGGCUA